UACCUGGCAAUAGCCAGCCACCUCCUGCCAUCCUGUGAACUGAACAGUGGGGAGACUCACCCUGUGAGGGCUUAAGGGAGGCCUGGGGCCAAACACAUUGUGGAAUCAGCCCCUCCAAGAGCUCCAAGGAUCUGAGUCUACUAACAUCACAUGGCUGAUGGAGAAAUAGAUCCUCUCACAGAGUUGGCUGACUUGGUUAGAGACGCUGAGGGCCCAAAGCCUGGUCAACCCAGGAUAAGCCUUGAUUGAGGUUGUAGACUUACCAAGACAGAAAACCUACAGGAGGCGUGAGAAGUCAGUUCCAGGAGGCCGAGGCCGGAGGGACUCAAGUUCAAGGCCUGCUUGGACUCCAUCGAAUCGUGCCAACCCAGACAAGUUUGUAGGCUCCUGUCUCAAAAAUCAGAAAGUCAGUAAGAAAUCUGGAGAUGCAACUCAGCGGGAAGAUGCUGGCCUUGCACGGAUGAAACCCUAAAUGCACUCCCCAGUACAACGCAUGAACAAACAAACAUCAAAAGCCUUUGACCACACACAGUACCAAUAAAGAGAAGAGAACU
rnacentral:lncRNA from 1 species